UCUCCGUUGGUGAACCAGCGGAGGGAUCAUUAUCGAGUUUAUAACUCCCAAACCCUAUGUGAACUUACCACUUGUUGCUUCGGCGCGCGCUUCGGUGCCGCCGAGGACACUUAAACUCUUUGUUUUUAUAAGCAUUUCUGAGUGGCCGAAAGGCAAAAUACAAAUGAAUCAAAACUUUCAACAACGGAUCUUUUGGUUCUG
rnacentral:misc_RNA from 1 species